CCUACGGGUGGCAGCAGUGGGGAAUAUUGCACAAUGGGCGCAAGCCUGAUGCAGCCAUGCCGCGUGUGUGAAGAAGGCCUUCGGGUUGUAAAGCACUUUCAGCGGGGAGGAAGGCGGUGAGGUUAAUAACCUCAUCGAUUGACGUUACCCGCAGAAGAAGCACCGGCUAACUCCGUGCCAGCAGCCGCGGUAAUACGGAGGGUGCAAGCGUUAAUCGGAAUUACUGGGCGUAAAGCGCACGCAGGCGGUCUGUCAAGUCGGAUGCGAAAUCCCCGGGCUCAACCUGGGAACUGCAUUCGAAACUGGCAGGCUAGAGUCUUGUAGAGGGGGGUAGAAUUCCAGGUGUAGCGGUGAAAUGCGUAGAGAUCUGGAGGAAUACCGGUGGCGAAGGCGGCCCCCUGGACAAAGACUGACGCUCAGGUGCGAAAGCGUGGGGAGCAAACAGGAUUAGAUACCCCUGUAGUC
rnacentral:rRNA from 1 species